CAGCGCGCGCCCGGGGCAUUUAAAGGGACAGGCCCCCGCGCCGGAGUUGCCCCGCGGCCGCCUCUCGAAGGGGUCCUCGGUCGCCGCGCGAGGUCUGAAUUGGGGGACCCUCCCCUCCCCCGGCGCCACCUUCGAGUUACACCCGCCGAGAAGAGCAAUAGGGUCUGCGUCUGGAGCUCCGACAGGGUCGUCGUCAGCUUUGAGAGGGCGUGUUACUCGAUAGUAACUCCCAAAUGAAGAAGAGAUAAAAAGGAAGAAGCUGAAGGAUGAUGGGAGUAGGAAGGAAGAGAAGAAAAGAAGAAGGCAAAAACCAACCAACUGAACACCACUAUCACCACCAAAAAAAAGAGGUGGGAAAUGAACAGGGAUGAAAGUUUCAAGCAGGUGGCUUUGGGGCCAUGAGCCCAGCCCCUGGCCAGCACACACCCCAGAGCUUUGUGGGAAUUACAAACAGGUGGACCUUCCUUAAGUUGGUGCAGACCUACCCAGGGCUGCCACGUGACUACCUGAGCACAGACUGGCUUCCAGUCCCCGGUGCACCCUUGUCUAGGCACCUCUGUGCCCACGGAAUGACACAAACGGACUAAACAACACAAUGAGAGGGCUUGGAAUGUUCUGCCUGGUGGCGUGGCUGUUUCUGUGCACCCCACGGAUCUCAUCUCUCUGUAGCCAGGGCCGUGCAUUUUCGUUCCCCCGGGGCACCUGGCACAUGGAAUUAACUCGCCAUUUCUAAAAUGAAACUGACUUGCAGUACACGGAAACCAGACGGAAGGGGGGGCCCACAGGAACCCGUGCGUGGGCAGAGCAUCAGCAUCUCAGAGCACGAGAUCUGCAGAGUGUGGUAUCACCAGCGGGUCACUGCAAGCAAAGCGCACGUACUUGAAAACAAAAUCAGCAGCCUCACACAAAUAAGAGUUGAACCAACAUUGGAAGUUCUGCCAUCGAGUGGACCCACAGAGCCCCAGAGAGUACAGUGGCUUCUGUCUACACACAGGCAGCGAAUCCCCAGAAGAGACACCUUGCUGAAUGCCUGUGGAAAGCUUCUAAGCACCAGAUUCCUGAAGAGAUGCCUCUUUCAGGUGUCUUCUGAUAAAAGACUUUUCAGUGGGAGGCCCAGGCUUGCCUCUGUGCAAGAACCAGAAUUCUGAGGAUGUUAGCUGCAUUAUUCCACUCAGGCUGCCGUAACAAAGUACCUCACACUGGGUGUCUUAACCAACAGAAGUUUAUUUUCCCACAAUUCCGAAGGCUGGAAGUCCAAGGUCAAAGUGUUGGCAGGUUUUGUGUCUUCUGAGGACUCUUUUUUGGGGGGCACCUGGGUGGCUCAGUCAGUUACGCAUCCAACUCUUGGUUUUGGCUCAGGUCAUGAUCUCACAGUUUGUGAGUUAGA